GGGAAGCAGAGCAGUAAGCCAGUCAGAUCUUCUUCUUCUUCUUCAUUUUUAGCAUUUUUUUUUAUGGCUUGAAAAUUCAUAAUUCUCAUACAAAAUUCAUAGAUUUCUACUCAGAUUGGUGAAAUCAGUGACAUUGGUUUAUUGCAUCGGGUGAUCACUUGUUGGCAUGCUUCUGAAGAUAUGGUGUAUAAGAAGAAGUUAGAUUUUGGUUUCAAUGGCUUUCAAGUUCCAGUUAUACCUAAAGCUCCUAGAUCAGUUAGAAGGAGACGUUCCUGUAAAAAAUUGGAUGAUGAUCAAAUUUGUGCAUUUGAAUUAUUGGCGGCUGUUGCCGGGAAGCUUUUACUGGAGAGCGAAAGCUCUACUUCCAGUAAUGCAGCAGAAGGGAAAAAUGAAAUUGCUGAUGGCAGGGAUGGUAUUAAAAGCGAACAAGUGGAAGAAGGUAAAGCUGUGAAAUCAGAGUGCCUUGACCAGGGGAGUUGUGUAGAAAGCGACUAUUUACCCGACACUGCAGUCCAAGAUCAGAAUUUGAAACAUGGUUUCGAUAAACCUCAUCAUGCAGAAAAUAAUUAUUUCUUGGAGCAUACUUCUACUGUUAUAGGUUCUGACGCUGACUUGAAGUUGGAAAACUGCAAGGAGGUCAAUAUAACUGAUGGAAAAUUCCACCACAAAAUUGAAGGUGGAUCCUCUAGUCUCGAGGAUCCAUGUGAUAGUAAAAUCAGGACAGGAACCCAAAAGCACUUAGAUGAUGACAGCAAACAGAUUGAAGACGUAACUGUGACUAACACUUGUAGUGUAAAGAAUCCAAUCAAAGAAUGUGUUAAUAACAGUGGCUUGUUUAACUCAGAUGGUAGUGUACAGUUACCCUUGUACAGGGAUUCGGUUCCUAGUGCUUCUUUUGUAAA
rnacentral:misc_RNA from 1 species